GAACGUGAUUGGAAGCUUGCUUCCAUGAAAGUGGCGCACGGGUGAGUAACGCGUAGAUAAUCUACCUGAUGGAUCGGGAUAACACUUCGAAAGGGGUGCUAAUACCGGAUAAGCCCACGGAGUCCUUGGACACUGCGGGAAAAGGAGGGGACCUUCGGGCCUUCCGUCAUCAGAUGAGUCUGCGUACCAUUAGCUAGUUGGUGGGGUAAAGGCCUACCAAGGCGACGAUGGUUAGCUGGUCUGAGAGGAUGAUCAGCCACACUGGAACUGAGACACGGUCCAGACUCCUACGGGAGGCAGCAGUGGGGAAUUUUGCGCAAUGGGGGAAACCCUGACGCAGCAACGCCGCGUGAGUGAUGAAGGCCCUUGGGUCGUAAAGCUCUGACAGAGGGAAAGAAAUGCAGGGUAGCUAAUAUCUACUUUGCUUGACGGUACCCUCAAAGGAAGCACCGGCUAACUCCGUGCCAGCAGCCGCGGUAAUACGGGGGGUGCAAGCGUUGUUCGGAUUUAUUGGGCGUAAAGCGCGUGUAGGCGGUUUUUUAAGUCUGAUGUGAAAGCCCUGGGCUCAACCUGGGAAGUGCAUUGGAUACUGGAAGACUUGAAUACGGGAGAGGGCAGUGGAAUUCCUGGUGUAGGAGUGAAAUCCGUAGAUAUCAGGAGGAACACCGGUGGCGAAGGCGGCUGCCUGGACCGAUAUUGACGCUGAGACGCGAAAGCGUGGGUAGCAAACAGGAUUAGAUACCCUGGUAGUCCACGCCGUAAACGAUGAGUACUAGGUGUUGCGGGUAUUGACCCCUGCAGUGCCGCAGCUAACGCAUUAAGUACUCCGCCUGGGAAGUACGGUCGCAAGACUA
rnacentral:rRNA from 1 species